AGUUUGAUCCUGGCUCAGGAUGAACGCUGGCGGCGUGCCUAAUACAUGCAAGUCGAACGAGUUUUGGUCGAUGAACGGUGCUUGCAUCGUGAUUCAACUUAAAACGAGUGGCGGACGGGUGAGUAACACGUGGGUAACCUGCCCUUAAGUGGGGGAUAACAUUUGGAAACAGAUGCUAAUACCGCAUAAAUCCAAGAACCGCAUGGUUCUUGGCUGAAAGAUGGCGUAAGCUAUCGCUUUUGGAUGGACCCGCGGCGUAUUAGCUAGUUGGUGAGGUAACGGCUCACCAAGGCCAUGAUACGUAGCCGAACUGAGAGGUUGAUCGGCCACAUUGGGACUGAGACACGGCCCAAACUCCUACGGGAGGCAGCAGUAGGGAAUCUUCCACAAUGGACGCAAGUCUGAUGGAGCAACGCCGCGUGAGUGAAGAAGGCUUUCGGGUCGUAAAACUCUGUUGUUGGAGAAGAAUGGUCGGCAGAGUAACUGUUGUCGGCGUGACGGUAUCCAACCAGAAAGCCACGGCUAACUACGUGCCAGCAGCCGCGGUAAUACGUAGGUGGCAAGCGUUAUCCGGAUUUAUUGGGCGUAAAGCGAGCGCAGGCGGUUUUUUAAGUCUGAUGUGAAAGCCCUCGGCUUAACCGAGGAAGCGCAUCGGAAACUGGGAAACUUGAGUGCAGAAGAGGACAGUGGAACUCCAUGUGUAGCGGUGAAAUGCGUAGAUAUAUGGAAGAACACCAGUGGCGAAGGCGGCUGUCUGGUCUGUAACUGACGCUGAGGCUCGAAAGCAUGGGUAGCGAACAGGAUUAGAUACCCUGGUAGUCCAUGCCGUAAACGAUGAAUGCUAGGUGUUGGAGGGUUUCCGCCCUUCAGUGCCGCAGCUAACGCAUUAAGCAUUCCGCCUGGGGAGUACGACCGCAAGGUUGAAACUCAAAGGAAUUGACGGGGGCCCGCACAAGCGGUGGAGCAUGUGGUUUAAUUCGAAGCAACGCGAAGAACCUUA
rnacentral:rRNA from 1 species